UAGGGAAUUUUCGGCAAUGGACGAAAGUCUGAUCGAGCAACGCCGCGUGAGUGAAGAAGGCCUUCGGAUCGUAAAACUCUGUUGUUAGAGAAGAACAAGGACGUUAGAAACUGAACGUCCCCUGACGGUAUCUAACCAGAAAGCCACGGCUAACUACGUGCCAGCAGCCGCGGUAAUACGUAGGUGGCAAGCGUUGACCGGAUUUAUUGGGCGUAAAGCGAGCGCAGGCGGUUUCUUAAGUCUGAUGUGAAAGCCCCCGGCUCAACCGGGGAGGGUCAUUGGAAACUGGGAGACUUGAGUGCGGAAGAGGGGAGUGGAAUUCCGUGUGUAGCGGUGAAAUGCGUAGAUAUGUGGAGGAACACCAGUGGCGAAGGCGGCUCUCUGGUCUGUAACUGACGCUGAGGCUCGAAAGCGUGGGGAGCAAACAGG
rnacentral:rRNA from 1 species